GUAUUGUGCACUGCUUACGGCUACACAAUGUCAAUUUGGUAUUCUAAUUAUAGACCUUUCCUGUAUAUUAUGGGAUGCUCUGAGAGUCCCCAGCCUGUCCAUUGCUUGAGGGACAUCAAACGGCCCACCAGGAUUACUCAUUACUCCAAUGAAGGUUCAGAUACAUUUUGAACCCCACAGAACUUUUAUUAAGCAAUAGAGAACUGAACCAUGAAGCAAAAAAGUAAUCAUCCAUUUGGUGGUUCAUUUUGGGAUGCUUCAGGGUAACACACUUGCCCAGAAUGAAACAAAAUGUGGAGUUGUUACCAGCAUUGGUGAUUAGUGUGUGGGCUAUAACUUGGACACCCCAAACCAAAUCUUCACCAAACUUGGUUGAACCCUUGGUCUGGCUAUACUCCUCACUUCUUCCAAGCUUGGUGAAGAUUGAAUAUUGGAGGUCCAAGUUAAAUUCCCUCAAAUCAGGUACCCCCCAGGAAAAUGCUCUCCAGCAGCUAGCCAAAGAGCUCUUUCCUGGAGGAAUCUGAUAACUUGGAUGUCCCAAAUCCAGUCUUCACCAAACGUGAAAGGGAUGGGGAGUAGAGUGACUUGAAGACUCACAGUGAGUUUAGCAUCUAACUCAUGCAGUGACUAUUCCACCACUCCCGGAAGUCCAGAAUUGUGUGAACUGUGUAAUGGUUAAUUGCAUCAGAACAUUUAUAAAUGUUUGUGGUUUGUGAAUAGCAAUGAACCCUGAACCGUCAUGAACUGCUGUUUUCCUGAUUGGUGCCCACAUCUAUUACAGAAUUAAUUUUUUAAAAAGCAGGUUCUUGUCUUUGGGUCAGUUAUCCUCCAUCUUUGCUCCCUCAGUCUGUAUCUGCCACACUCUGGACUAUUAUAUGGGCACAAUGCUAUAGGGCAACACCUGAUCUCCAGACUUAUAGAGGGUUCCACUGAUGCCCAGAUGCCUCUUAUGGACCACACCCUGCUCUUUGCUAUCUGUGUCUUCCAUGCCCUGGUAUUUGGAGCACAUGCUCUACAGUGUCGAAAAUGCUUCGAAAAAGGAGAAACUUUGGGUGGAAUAUGUAAACCAUUUGACAGGAAGGAUGUCUGUGAAGCCACUAAAACGGAAACCUGUGGUUUAGACAAAUUCUAUGUAGACGGAGAAUUAAAAGCAAUUGUUCGAACUUGUGUAGAGAGAAUCUUUUGUGGUAAAAGAGCUAAAUUUUUCAACAAUAAUCACUUCUAUGAAGACUUCACCUGUUGCAAUGAUCAAGAUUUAUGCAAUGAAUAUUUAUAAAUAUGGCUGAAAUCCACCUGAAGAUCCCUAUAAUACUGAGGGGGGAAAAAUCUGUGCCCUUAUCUCAUAAGCUGUCUUCUUUUGUCUCGCAAGCUGUUGAGUUGAAACCAUGCCUUUCUACAGUCUUACAAUGCAUGAAAUAAAGCUACUUCUUUGUUCA
rnacentral:lncRNA from 1 species